rnacentral:tRNA from 1 species
AGGCGCGUAGCUCAGUUGGCAGAGCGCUACCUCGACACGGUAGAAGUCAUCAGUUCAAGUCUGAUCGUGCCUACCA